rnacentral:rRNA from 1 species
GAUGAACGCUAGCGGCAGGCCUAAUACAUGCAAGUCGGACGGGAUUCAGGAGCUUGCUUCUGAUGAGAGUGGCGCACGGGUGCGUAACACGUAUGUAACCUACCUUUAUCAGGGGGAUAGCCUCUCGAAAGAGAGAUUAAGCCCGCAUAAAAUCACAGCACAGCAUUGUGUAAUGAUCAAAUAUUUAUAGGAUAAAGAUGGGCAUGCGGAACAUUAGCUAGAUGGCGGGGUAACGGCCAACCAUGGCGACGAUGUUUAGGGGAUCUGAGAGGAUGGCCCCCCACACUGGUACUGAGACACGGACCAGACUCCUACGGGAGGCAGCAGUAAGGAAUAUUGGUCAAUGAGCGGAAGCCUGAACCAGCCAUGCCGCGUGCAGAAAGACGGCCCUACGAGUUGUAAACUGCUUUUAUACGGGAAUAAACCCAGAUACGUGUAUCUGGCUGAAUGUACUGAAAGAAUAAGGAUCGGCUAACUCCGUG